UACAGAGGGUGCAAGCGUUAAUCGGAUUUACUGGGCGUAAAGCGUGCGUAGGCGGUUCAUUAAGUCGGUUGUGAAAUCCCUGGGCUUAACCUGGGAACUGCAGUCGAUACUGGUGAACUAGAAUGCGGUAGAGGGUGGCGGAAUUCCUGGUGUAGCGGUGAAAUGCGCAGAUAUCAGGAAGAACACCUAUGGCGAAGGCAGCUCUCUGGGACGGUACUGACGCUGAGACGCGAAAGCGUGGGGAGCGAACAGG
rnacentral:rRNA from 1 species